rnacentral:sRNA from 1 species
AGACUUGAUUUGAAGAAGUUGAAUAAAUGAAUGGAAAAGAUGAAAGUACGCCGUCUCAAGGUUGAGAGAGACGGGUAUUAUAAAAGCUUGCACAGUAAGUAGUCUUUAGAGACUCCAUUAGCCUUAAUGCUCAGAACGAGGUCCUCAAAACGCUCGAUGUGGUCCAUUGGCUGUUCGUGAGAU